ACCUAGCAGGAGAACAGCUUCCAUAGACCAUGAAACUUGUGGAUACACUGGGGCCGGAAACAGUGAAUGCAUUCUUGCCAUAGUUCCAGUGAAGAUUAAGUCAAAGAAAAGCAACAAAAUAGUAAAGACAUAUGCCUUCAUUGAUCAAGGAAGUUCGGCUACUUUUUGCACCGAAUCUUUAAUGAGAGAUUUGAACUUGAGAGGCAGAAAAACGGAGAUUCUUCUUCGUACUAUGGGACAAGAAAAACCUGUACAUAGUCAUAUUCUGUCAGACCUGGAAAUAAGUGGUUUGGAAAGCGAAGACUACAUAGAACUUCCUAAGGUUUUCACUCAGAAAGAGAUUCCUGUAAAACAGGAAAAUAUCCCUAAUCAACAGGACCUAGAAAAAUGGCCAUACUUGAGACAAGUUAACCUUCCUCAUCUCAAUGCCGAGGUAGGCUUACUGAUUGGCGCCAAUGCGCACAAGGCCAUAGAACCGUGGCAAAUAAUAAACAGUGAAGGAAAUGGACCGUAUGCUAUCAUGACGGCACUUGGAUGGAUUGUUAACGGACCUUUGCGAACAGAUGUGAGUGCAGAAUCAGACCAGGUCAGAAUUCCAAGUUUCACUGUGAACAGGAUUGCAGUGUCAGACAUUGAAACACUGUUGGUAGAGCAAUUCAAUGCAGACUUUCCUGAACGCAAUUACAGUGACAAAAAGGAAAUGUCACAAGAAGAUCUGAAGUUCAUGCAGUCCGUUGAACAAUCAGUACAGUAUAAAGAUGGACAUUACUGUAUUGGACUACCCUUUAAGAAAGAUCCUGUCAAGAUGCCAAACAACAGAUGCAUAGCAGAACAGAGAGCCAUCAGUCUUAAAAGAAAGCUCAGCAAGAACCAAGAGUUUCACAAAGACUAUAAAGCUUUUAUGGCAGACAUAAUUGAUAAAGGCUAUGCUAAAAAAGUCCCUUUAGAACAACUGGAACGCACAGAUAGAGUGUGGUAUAUUCCACAUCACGGGAUAUAUCACCCAAAAAAGAACAAAAUUAGA
ensembl:lncRNA